UAGAGAUGCUUUGCAGUUCAGCCCGGCUGAAGCUGACCGAAUGAGACUAUGGGCUGUGCCUCUGCGAAGCAUGUUGCCACUGUUCAAAAUGAAGAGGAAGCCCAGAAAGGGAAGAACUACCAGAAUGGAGACGUGUUUGGUGAUGAGUAUAGGAUCAAACCGGUGGAAGAGGUCAAAUACAUGAAAAAUGGGGCAGAAGAGGAGCAAAAAAUAGCAGCCAGGAACCAAGAAAACUUGGAAAAAAGUGCCAGUUCAAAUGUAAGACUUAAAACUAAUAAAGAGAUUCCGGGAUUAGUUCAUCAACCCAGAGCAAACAUGCACAUCUCUGAAAGCCAGCAAGAAUUCUUCAGAAUGCUGGAUGAAAAAAUUGAAAAGACCUUUACAUCUGUUGAAAAAUCAUUUACACUUAGAAAAUGUUUGGGUUCCUGAAGUGGCCUGAUUUCCUUGGCCCCAGAACUAACCUAGUUGGUGAGAAACAUGAGAAAGUCACCAACCCUGCUCUAGGACAUCAGUUCAAUAUGGCCCAGAGACAUGGGCAUCCUGCAUUCUGUAUCCCUGCUUUUUUUUUUUUCUUUUCUUUCUUUGGCCUUGCCAUGAGGUGGCUUGUGAGAUCUUAGUUCCCCGACGAGGGAUCAAACCUGUGCCCUCUACAUUGGAAGCACAGAGUCUUAACCACUGGACGGCCAAGGAAGUCCCAUCCCUGCUUUUCCCUGUCCUCACUCCUGCUCGCCUCCUCGUGAGGAAAGGAGCAUCAUCGAAGUCAGAUGAGUGCCAACAUCAGGCAAAGCAGGACCUUGAGAAAUAGGUCCCUUGAAGCUUCUAAAAUAUCCUUCUUAGAAGGAUAGAAUCAGUAGAAUGAGGAUUUGGGUAUAAUAAACACUUCAUGGGAGUUGUAAAGCUGUUUAGUCAAUACAUUCUCUCUUGGAAAUGAAAAGGCCAGUAUACUAGGGUUCUUGUCACUGUGGUUGUUAUCGUGGUGAUCAUUCCUCUACAUGGUCAACAAAACAGUCAGAGGCUGUCAUACCCCUACUGGUCAUUACGAACGAUUCCUUUUUCCAACUGAAAUGAUAACGCACAAGUCUAAUUAGAAUAAAGCUCAUUAGAAACAGGCUUGGCCAUUAAUGCCUUGAUUGAUUUUUCUAAUGAAAUAAGCCAGGGGAGGAGACUUGAACAGCACUGCUAAUUAUUUUUGCUUUUCUUCGGCAUUGCCUCAGAACUUGUUAUAAAUUGUUGUUGUGCUGUAAUGAAAAUGCUGCUGAAACACUCCCUGACCGAAGAGGCUCUGACACUUGCAGCCCCGAGGAAGCAGUGGAGGGCGCCUGACUCCUGGCCCACAGCCCUACAGGAGGAGGAUUCAACAGCAGCCCCUGGGGGGUGUCCUUCAUUUCACUUUUCCACCCUCUUCCCGCCUCCUGCUCGUCAUCUUUGUUCUGGAUUCUGGCUGGUGGUUCACAGAUGCUCAAGCUGUGGAAUGCAGCUCUCGUGCCCCUGUAUUCCUGGUUCGACAGUUUAAAUGUUCAGGCUCCCAUAGAAACUUAGAUCCGAGGUUGCCGCUGGAUGGUGAUACAUGCAGGAAAAGUUUUGGGGAAAAAGAUGUUAGGUGGGCAGAGAAGCAAGACGGCCCAUUAAGUGUCUGUACCAAAUACUGUUGGGAUAAUUGUGUUUCAUUAAUCAAGAUGUUCUUUGGUGCCCAGAAAGCCAGACUGCCCCACAGUGCAGGGUAGAAGGCUACCAAAGAGGCGCGACUAAGUCAAGAAACAGACUCACGAAGCCCACAGUUAGGAAGAGAGAGGAGGAAGAUGAAUCAUGCAAAGGAAGCAGACAGGUGGUAGGAGAAUUCAAAUAAUGCACAGGUCAGAAACCUAUGGAGCUUCCCAGUCAUCCAGAGAGGUUCAGGAGAGGAGGGGGAAGUCUUCAUUUGUCAGUUAGCCUGCUGUAUGAUGAGUAUAACAGGGCACCCUUCCGGGCAGAAAUAAGCCUUAUUAAAGCACACUUCUAUGGGCCACACAAGGAUUCCAUUGAGUGUCAAAAAGAUGAAGAGGAGAGAGCAGUUCUCAUGGGUUCCCUUACCCUGCUCCUCUCCACCCGGGUGCCCCUUCCCAAUAAAGUCUUUUGCUUUAUCAGCAAAAAAAAAAAAAGACAAAGGGGAAUAAGAGACGUGUUCUGUUCUGCCCCCUGUAGUAAGGGAAGUAAACAUUUUGGCUAAAAUUACUUUUAAUACGUGGUGGGAUGGAAGGAUGACUGAGGGGAAGAGACCAAUUCUCCCUAGAGCUUUCACUUGAAAUUAUGAUGUUGAACAAGAUCGUAAGACUAAGUAACCACUAAGAGAAGUCUGGGGAGGAGGGAGUAUGAGAGAAGAAAGCAAUAUAUGUGGAAAUGCAGGAUGUACAAGAAGGAUCUGCCAGUUUCGGACACAGUGGAUGACUGAUCCUGUUGUUUUGUUCGUCUUUUAUAUGUUUUAACCAUUUUUUCUUUGGGAUAUUAGAUGGUUUUUUUCCAUGCCUAAUAAAAAUGCUGCAAUGAAAAUAUUUGUACACUUCUAAGAAUUUUAUAAAGGUAUAGUUUACAUGCCAUAAAAUUUACUUAUUUUAUAUGUACAAUUCAAUGAUUUUUAGUAAAUUUACCAAACUGCAUGACUAUCACCACAUUCCAGUUUUAGAACAUUUUCAUCACAUCAGUAAGAUCCCUCCUGCCAGCAUACAGCCAAUCCCCUUUCCCAUCUCCAGCCCCAGGGAAUAAAUGCAUAUAUUUUUAAAAACAUAUAUUUGGGAGUUUAUCAUUAAUAUUGAUGUCUAUGAUUGCUAUAAGAAGGGUAUGAACGUUCUUAUGACUCAUAAUACAUAUUACCACAUUACUUUCCAAAGCAGCCCUACCACUUUACAAGGCUGCCAGCAGUGUAUGAGAGCUGCGCUUCAUUGUACACUCCCAAGAAUUGGGUAUCGCUAUUUUUAAAUAAUAUCUAAUUGUCUUCAUUUGGAUUUUUUUAUUACUGAAGCAGACCGUUUUUCUAUUUGUGUGUUUGCUGACUUUAUUUGUUCUAAAUGAAUUUCCACUCUGUGCCCUUCCCUCUUGUUGAAAUCCUCUUACAUUAACUUUUUUUAUUGAUAUGAGCUUCUCAUGUAACUUGUCACUUACACAUUGUAUGCUGCAGGUAUUUUUCCCAUUGAGGUUUGCCUUUUUAUUUUGUUUUAUUCUUUUUCUUUUGGUAUGCAAAGUUUCAUUUUUACAUGAUGAAAUAUGUUCAUCUUUUUAUUUUCUACGUGAUCUUUUUUAUGGCUUUGAGGCUAAGAGUUAUUUCCUUCUCCAGAGCUUUGACAGAAGCUCAGUUUUAUGGUCUGUUUUGUAUUAUUAUUAAGAUUUAGCACAUCAUUUCUCUUGGAAUCUGUCAUUUCUGGUGACCCUCUUUGUCAAAUACUUAAUUCUUACAUAUCUUAGGCCAUAUUACCAGGAUAUCUUAUUCUGUACUGGUGAUGUUUUUGACGGCUCCACUUUAAAAAGAACAUGAGAAAAGUGACACACAUGCAAGGGAGUAAGACCUAGGUGGAAACCUCGUUAUUCACAGGUAAUGGACCGAAGGAUGCUAUCAGUCUGGGAAGACCUAGCCUCUGGUUACAAAGGCCCUGACCGUGCCAUUCUGUGGGAGUUACAGAGAGGCAGGGUUUGGGCUCAGCUGUGAACAAUUUCAUGAGUAGCUGGAAAAGUAUCUGACAUGUUCCAGUCGUAAAGAGAAGGCUCCCUGCCUAUAAUAUGGUCAGUGGAGGUCUGUUCUACAUUAGAUGCAAGGUAGGGGAGGAAGACCUCUGGGUCCCCUUCCAACUCCAAAAUCUCAGAACUCUCUAGAUACUGUUCCUCCUUUCGUUUAUUCAGCAAAUAUUUAGUGAUCAUCUAAUAUGUCGCCAGCACUAGUCUAAGUCCUAGGGAUGCAGCAGUGCAGAAAACACUUUCAGCCCACUGGAUGCAUCUAUUCAAGGGGGAAGACAGCCAAUAAAGGAAUAAAGCAAUACGUUAAUGAUGUCAGGUAAUGAUAAGUAAUAUAAAUAAAAAUGAAACAGAGUAAGAAGUGCUAUUGUAUAUAAGGAGCUCAGGGAAGACAGUGAGGUGACAUUUGAGCAGAGGUCUAGAAAAUGUGAAGUGAUGGAUGGGGUGAGGGCUGCAGGCAGGAGGAGCCAGCCAGGAAGUUGGAGGAAGGACAAGCAUCCAGGCCCUGAGGUGCCAGCUUGUUUGAGGGCCUGGAUGUAGAUGAGUAAUCCAGUGGUGGCCCAAUUUCUCACAUAGUCAGUUUAUUAACAGUUGGAUCUGUUGACCUCAUUUUUCAAUAUCAUCAUAAGAGCUAUAAUUUAUUAAGUACCAUGUGCCAAGCUUUGCCAAACACCUAUGUGUAUUACUCCUAAGUCUCCCAACAGCACUGCAAGUUAGGUCUUACUGUCCCCAUUUUACAGAUGGGGAAACUGGAGCUCACUGCUUCCUCUCUGGAACUUUCAUCUUGUUCUAGUCUACUCCAUUGGGGAAAUACUCAGUUCACAGCUGACUCUUACAUGCUUGAGGUGUAUGUAUUAGGCCAGAUGCACACACAUCUACAGAGAAGUACUAGAGACUCCUGUGAUAAACUCACCCCUGAAACUGGACAGCCAGCCCUAGACUAUUUGCCUGCGUAAACUUGAGGAGAAGAAGUACUGUAGGCACUUUGGAGGAAUAAUUCCUUUAUUUGAAGUCACUCUUUGAUCUGUUCCUCUUUAAACUAGCAGAAUUAGGACAAUGUCCUUUCCUUUGCUACACCUUAAUAUUGCUAAUUCUAAGCCUAGACAUUUCAACAAACAAAAAAAUCCUGACCCUGGAACCUCAGAAAUGUAUGAGUUGACAUAAACUUCCAGUUUCCAAGAAAACAAUGCAGACAGUUGAAGAGGGCAUGGAAACUCUACAGAGUAGGGCUGUGGUCAGGGAAACUGGUAGGCAAAAAGCUCCUUGAGAUUUUUUGAGUCUGAGUCUACACCAAAACGCCUCUGUGGUUCUUCAUACGACCCUUCCUUGUCAGCGUCCUCGUGCGUUUCCAUUCUUCCCACACGUGGGGUCUCGUGGGGACCUGGCUGUCUGUAGCUUUCAGUGUGUCCUUUGCACAAGGGUGGAAUUGUGUCUAACAGUCCCUAAUGCUGGCUGCAUACAGUGUCUUUACAAAGACUUCCAUUUUGUAGUCCCUUUAAGGGGAAAGGGCAUGCUUUGGACUAAGAGAAUUGCUGUGUAGCUCCCAAACCCAGCUCACUCCCACUUCCUGCCGUCUGACAGCUGCAGGUUUUAAGGUUCUCUUUUUAGCAUCGUUCUUUAAAAAUUUCAAUGAGGCGUGAAGUCAUAUUAUAGAAACAAGCUCUCUAUCUGGUCCAGUAGAGCCUGUGUGCAGGUAGGGCCCUUGUGAUGCUGAGAUGGGGCUGCUUCAGUACGUUUUCUUGGGUUCCCCUUAAAAUGACACUGGCCACAUGGGAGCUCUUACUCUCCUUGUUUUUGAUUUCCAAGUUUUCUGUUCGUAAAAUAAUUGCUUCUCAGAGCUGUUGACAGGUGAUAAUAACAAAAAUAAAACUGAUUUGAAUUCAGUUAUCAACUCACUACAGUCAUAACAAAAGAGGCAAGGAUUAACCCUGUGUUCUGGGCUUCUCUGAGGUUUGCCCACAAGUAACAGGACGCAGGACUCCUACCUACUUUGCAGGGUUGAUGUGAAUAACCAAUGAAAUAGUGUCUGCAAAGCAGCUGAUGCAAUUUUCCUUCUCCUUCUCAUAGUAAUUAUAAUAAUUUCAGAGGAGCAAAUGCUUGAGAAAUGGAAGUUGCAGUUUGGGUUGACGCAGAGGGUUUACAAGAGAUUUGUCCCUCAAAAGAGGGCCCUUCCUUAUGGUGACAGUAAACCUGGAGGGUCUGUUUAACCCUAUAACUCAUUUACAGAGUUGGAGACACCGCUUUAUCAGCGAGUGCACCAGUUCAUGUGUGGGUCUGUCUGUCUGUCACUGAUCCAAGUUCUUCCUUGUGGAUAAGAUGCCCUCUGAACCCCAACAUUGGCCACCUAGGCCUUUGCUUUGAUUGCGGCUUCUUAAGAAGGGAAGGGAUUGAGGUGUCUGCCGUAGAAGCUUUAUUUGAGCACAUGGGGUUCUGGCCCGUCUGGGGUGCAAGGCUGAGGUGGAAGGAAGGGCUCCCUGACACCUGGCAGAGUACAAUUUGUGACGACAGUUCUCACCCACCCAACCGCCGUAAGGAAGGUGGUCCUUAUUCUCCUGCCAGGGCCUGGACAAACAGGGGGUUUAAUAGCAGUAGUAGUAAUAGUAGCAGCAGCUAAUAUUUAUUGACCACCUGCUAGAAACGGUAUUUUUCCCAUGUAAUCCUGAUCACAACCCUAUGAAACAGAGACCAUGAUUAUCCCCAGGAAACCAAAGCCCGAAGAUUUGCCCAGUGUCUCACAACCGUGUGUGUGUCCACAUAUACACUGGAGAAGUCCUCUCCUUUCCUAACGUAAACUCCAUGAGCCCACCUUUCCCCUCCAGCCAGACGCUCAGAGGCCACUCGCAGGUCUACUGUCUAAGCCCCAUGAGUUGAGGAUACGUGGAGAGCAUCAUCUGAUAUAUUUCUGAUAGGUUUGGAUGUGUCCUGUUGCCCACAAUGGAGAAUAAACUCCCAACGGUCAGGGUCCACGAGGGUCUCCUUUCUAGCUCUCCACCAUGUGGCUCAGGGAGUGUCUCCUGGGUGGUCUGGGCCAAGGCAACAGCUGCCAUCUGCUUGGACACUGUCACCAGGGAGGUGUCAUUGGGGACACACUUCUCUUGUCAGGAAAAUUGCUCACCCAGCUUCCCUGCCCAGGAGACUUUUUUUUGCAGCAAGUAAAACAAGCCUGGAGAUGACACCAGGCUCAAAAACUCCGCAAGGAGCAGGGGUGAGAGUUGGCAAUGUGAUAGCAGAAGAAACCAAAAUCUGCUAAUUGGUAAUCAUUCAAAGAGAACACGCAAUCUGGGGCCGGUUAGCACGGGAAUGGGCCACCCUCGUGCUUUUGCAGGCCCCGAAGACUUCUUGGUGUGGCAGCACUUUUUUAUUUGUCAGACACACGUGUACACAUGUGUACACACAUACAUGUAUAAAAUUAUGUGCCAGGCCCGAUUUAAUCACUUUACUACUAUUAACUCACUUAAUCUUCAGCAACCACAUGAAGUUGGUACUGUUGUUAUCUUCGUUUUACAGAUGGGGAAAGUGAGGCACAGAGAGGUAACUUGAUCAAAAUCCCAGAGCUAGUGAGUCACAGAGCCAGGAUGACUGCCCAGCCAGGUGGUACCGUCAUGCAUUAGAAUGAUGCUGAAAUAUUAGGAGAAUGUGAGCUGCUUCCAAUAUGCAGAUACUGUGACAAAGAAACAUGUCAUACAUUUGAGAAAUAGUUGUAUGCGAAAUUAUUAUUUUCUUUAUGUUUUAGAUACUUUUAGUAAUAAGUCCCAGUUAUAAAGAAAAUUUUAUUUUUAAAGGAACUUUCCCCCCAGAAUUGAAACAUGUAGUGUGUAUUUAAAAAGAAAGAAGUCGGGGCUUCCCUGGUGGCGCAGUGGUUGAGAGUCUGCCUGCCAAUGCAGGGGACAUGGGUUCGUGUCCCGGUCCAGGAAGAUCCCACAUGCCGCGGAGCAGCUGGGCCCGUGAGCCAUGGCCGCUGAGCUUGCGCGUCCGGAGCCUGUGCUCCGCAACGGGAGAGGCCACAACAGUGAGAGGCCCGCGUACUGCAAAAAAAAAAAAAAAAAAAAAAUCACGAGAAAAAAAAAAAAGAAAGAAGUCAGCCCCCUCCCCUUCCACUGCUACUGAGCUAGCUGUUUUUGCUCCUGCCCAUAGCCAUGGUCAAGCCUACUCUCCACAUGUUUCUCCCGCCCUUGUCUAGGUCGUGGGGAGGCUUAGAUGCCAAGCGCUUUAGACAGUCAGGACAUGGCUCUGACUUCUGUUGGAAAGAAGAUGUGGACUUUGAUCACUCAUGCAAAACCCUAAGUUAUUAACAUGGGAUGUUUGCAGAGACCAACUCCAACUACCACCUAUGCUGUCUAGUCAGAAAGUUAAAGAUAUGUGCAUGGCAUGCCAAAGAUUGGAUGUCGGGUAAAAGCUUUAUGACUUCGGAAAACUUCUGGGCCUCUCUGGGCUUUGUUUUUCUCAUCUGAGGAAUGGGAGACACAACAGUACAUAAGACAUAGGGCUGUGGUGGCAGAAUCAGCAAUACUUGAAAAGUGCUAAGCACAGUACCCAACAUGGAGAGAGCAUUCGGCAAACUUGAGCAUCGUGGGAUGUUACCUGUUCACACUUGUGUGAUCCAGGAGUAGAGGGCUCAGUCCAGUUGAGCCAGUAUGAUUGUCACUCCAGGAAAUUUGAAACAACAAACAGACACAGAGACUGGAAGUCACUGGAACUAGAGCACAUUAAUAGCCACUCUCAGGAGGUAAGGUCCAUGUUGUUCCCACAUCUGUCCUUUCCAACCUUGGUUACUGAACCUUCACUUCUUUGGGAUACCUUUGUAUCUUUCCAAUACAUUCCUCUUUUUUUUUUUUCUUUAAAAAAAAAAAAAAGAAAGUGGUCAAAGGAUAUAAAUAGUAUGAAUAUAUGACUUUACACAAAGCCUUUAUCUGUGACACAGGCAGGACAGGGACUUGUUUCCGUGCUCUCUGUGAGAGACUACAGACCAAGGAGCCAUGUGCUUUGACCAAGACAGCCCGGUGAUGUCAGACAUGGAGCUUAAAUCCCAGGCCUAACUGUGCCUUCAUAGAGUAUAUAACCUGCUGGAGAGAGGAUGAAAUAUGUUCAAAAGUAACGGCUGGAUAUAGUUCUUAAGCCCUCAAGUAACCUGUUUUGUUAGGGGAUGGAUGCAUUAAAAGCAUUUUUGCCUUCCUUGUGCAUCCCACACAUACCAAACAUAGUCCUAGAUAUGUUAUACAUAUUCAGUGAAUCUUUGUUUUUUAAUCCCUGUUUUAACUUAGAAUGGAUUAAGGGACUUCCCUGGUGGUCCAGUGGUUAAGACUCUGCACUUCCACUGUGGGGGGCAAGGGUUUGAUCCCUGGUCGGAGAACUAAGAUCCCACAUGCCACACAGUGUGGCCAAAAAAAAAAAAAACCACC